GAUGAACGCUGGCGGCGUGCCUAAUACAUGCAAGUCGAGCGAACAGACGAGGAGCUUGCUCCUCUGACGUUAGCGGCGGACGGGUGAGUAACACGUGGAUAACCUACCUAUAAGACUGGGAUAACUUCGGGAAACCGGAGCUAAUACCGGAUAAUAUAUUGAACCGCAUGGUUCAAUAGUGAAAGACGGUUUUGCUGUCACUUAUAGAUGGAUCCGCGCCGCAUUAGCUAGUUGGUAAGGUAACGGGUUACCAAGGCAACGAUGCGUAGCCGACCGGAGAGAGUGAUCGGCCACACUGGAACUGAGACACGGACCAUGCUCCUACGGUAGGCAGCAGUAGGGAAUCUUCCGCAAUGGGCGAGAACCUGACGGAGCAACGCCGCGUGAGUUAUGAAGAUCUUCGGAUCGUAAAACUCUGUUAUUAGGUAUGAACAAAUGUGUAAGUAACUAUACACGUCUUGACGGUACCUAAUCAAAAAGCCACGGCUAACUACGUG
rnacentral:rRNA from 1 species